rnacentral:tRNA from 1 species
GCCCGAAUAGCUCAGUCGGUAGAGCAGGGGAUUGAAAAUCCCCGUGUCCUUGGUUCGAUUCCGAGUCCGGGCACCA